UACGUAGGAGACGAGCGUUGUCCGGAAUUACUGGGCGUAAAGCGCGUGUAGGCGGAUGGGCAAGUCUGCUGUGAAAGCUCCUGGCUUAACCGGGAGUGGUCGGUGGAAACUGCCAAUCUGGAGGACGGUAGAGGUAGGUAGAAUUCCCGGUGUAGUGGUGAAAUGCGUAGAGAUCGGGAGGAAUACCUGUGGCGAAGGCGGCCUACUGGGCCGGACCUGACGCUGAGACGCGAAGGCGUGGGGAGCGAACCGG
rnacentral:rRNA from 1 species